rnacentral:tRNA from 1 species
GGGCCUAUGGUCUAGUGGCAUGACGCAACCCUCACACGGUUGAGAAUCCAGUUCGAUUCUGGAUAGGCCCA